rnacentral:pre_miRNA from 1 species
GGCUUGGCGACUGUAGCAUAACACGGAUAGUGUUUGCUACUUUCACCAAGAUC